UCAACUUCCUGAGUAAACCAUUUUUUUGUCUUUAGGAGUUUCGUAUACAUCAGAUUGUACGCCAUGUGAUGCAGGAUUCUUCAACAAUCAGGAAGGAAAGGGAAGUUGUACCAUGUGCUCUGCCAACACAUUCUCAGCUGCUGGCGCCAC